UACGGGGGGGACACAGUGUUGGUGAAUUACUGGGCGUAAAGGGCCAGUAGGCGGCCAACUAAGUCGGAUGUGAAAUCCCCAGGCUCAACCUGGGAACUGCAUCCGAUACUGGAUGGCUUGAAUUCGGGAGAGGGAUGCAGAAUUCCAGGUGUAGCGGUGAAAUGCGUAGAUAUCUGGAGGAAUACCGGUGGCGAAGGCGGCAUCCUGGACCGACAUUGACGCUGAACGGCGAAAGCUAGGGGAGCAAACGGG
rnacentral:rRNA from 1 species